UACGUAGGGCGCAAGCGUUGUCCGGAAUUAUUGGGCGUAAGGAGCUCGUAGGCGGUUUGUCGCGUCUGCUGUGAAAACUCGAGGCUCAACCUCGGGCUUGCAGUGGGUACGGGCAGACUAGAGUGCGGUAGGGGUGACUGGAAUUCCUGGUGUAGCGGUGGAAUGCGCAGAUAUCAGGAGGAACACCGAUGGCGAAGGCGGGUCUCUGGGCCGAUACUGACGCUGGAGGAGCGAAAGCGUGGGGAGCGAACAGG
rnacentral:rRNA from 1 species